rnacentral:rRNA from 1 species
UACGGGGGGUGCUAGCGUUAUUCGGAAUCAUUGGGCGUAAAGGGCGCGUAGGCGGUCUUUUAAGUCAGAUGUGAAAGCCCUCGGCUUAACCGAGGAAGUGCAUUUGAUACUAAGAGACUUGAGUAUGGGAGAGGGAAGCGGAAUUCCUGGUGUAGCGGUGAAAUGCGUAGAUAUCAGGAGGAACACCGGUGGCGAAGGCGGCUUCCUGGACCAAUACUGACGCUGAGGCGAGAAGGCGUGGGGAGCAAACAGG